UACGGAGGAUGCGAGCGUUAUCCGGAUUCAUUGGGUUUAAAGGGUGCGUAGGCGGAGCUUCAAGUCAGCGGUGAAAGUCUGCAGCUCAACUGUAGUUGUGCCGUUGAAACUGAAGUUCUUGAGUGUAGAUGAGGUAGGCGGAAUGAGUAGUGUAGCGGUGAAAUGCAUAGAUAUUACUCAGAACACCGAUUGCGAAGGCAGCUUACUAAACUACAACUGACGCUGAGGCACGAGAGCGUGGGUAUCAAACAGG
rnacentral:rRNA from 1 species